UCGUGCGAGUUCAGACUCGCGGCACCGAGCUCAGUAACACGUGGCCAAACUACCCUACAGAGACGGAUACCCUCGGGAAACUGAGGUUAACCCGUCAUACCGAUCUCAGGCUUGAAUCGCAGAGAUCACAAAACGCCCCGGCGCUGUAGGAUGUGGCUGCGGUUGAUUAGGUAGACGGUGGGGUAACGGCCCACCGUGCCCAUAAUCAGUACAGGUUGUGAGAGCAAGAACCUGGAGACGGAAUCUGAGACAAGAUUCCGGGCCCUACGGGGCGCAGCAGGCGCGAAACCUUUACACUGCACGCACGUGCGAUAAGGGGACUCCGAGUGCGAGGGCAUAUCGUCCUCGCUUUCGUGUACCGUAGGGUGGUACACCAACAAGGGCUGGGCAAGACCGGUGCCAGCCGCCGCGGUAAUACCGGCAGCCCGAGUGAUGGCCGAUCUUAUUGGGCCUAAAGCGUCCGUAGCU
rnacentral:rRNA from 1 species